AAAUGGUCUCCAUUUUUACAUUUGAGAGUGUCGUGAUUCGAUGUCUUUUGUUUUGUUUUUGUUCAGCAGUGCGAUCUGUAUUAUAUUUCCAUCGUGCUCGAAACGUAAUAGAAAAGUGAUGCGGAACCACAGCGGGGGGGGGGGGGGGGGGCAAAGGAAAUUAAGUGACUCGCAGAAGAAGAAAAAAAAAAACCCUCAACCUUUUGCACUUUUCCUCCAUGUUUCAGCUUUUCGUGAUCAUGCUUCGCAGAACGCCCUGCAGACAUGCGAGCCCGCGCUGUUCCCGGGCCGGGCCGCCACCUUCUGCGCACACGGACAAAAACAGCUUGAGAUGGGGAGUCCACAUGGAUAAACAUUUACCGUGGAUGGAAGGUGAACAAGAGAGACUUGUCUUCAUCAACCUCAUUAAGCGGCUUUUGGGAUGAACUACAACCGAGAUCUCUCAGGUUGCAGUUCACUGAAGCUGACAGCUGCUGCGGGGUUCAACAAUGCGGCCAUUGUUUAACAUCGCUGCUAUCCGCUGACCUGAUGAUGCCACGCACUACCUGAGGGAUGAAAAGCUAAGUCAAGAGACACGCUUUGAUCGCAGAGGAAACUCGCGCUUAACACUAGCAAAUUAGAUUUUUUUUUUUUUAGUCCGGCGCUCUCAUUCUGCACAAGUUUGGCCCGAGGUAUUAGCGUCCUAACGAGUAUUUUGGGGGAGCGACCCUUCCAAAUUGAACAAGCAAAUACGACACAUUGACCAAUGUAAGCUUUACGCCACAACUGCCCUCAAUUAACAGCAUUGGUAAGAAUCCAAAUCCGUUUUUUGCGGGGGGCCGGGGGGGCUUCUGUAAUGCUGACUGUCGAAGGCCCUUGCGCUCGGGGGCUCUUCAUUCAAAAACAUGAUGGCGGCAGCAAAAUGACACAUUUUAUCUGCGAAUUUCAAGAAAGAAAAUUUGAUCGAGUGACUUGAGACAUAAAUGCUUUUGAGACUUUUUAGCAUUUUAGGCCAAAAAGUUGAGAGCAAAGGACGGUAUAGAAUAAACUGGCAUAC